rnacentral:rRNA from 1 species
GGUGAACGCUGGCGGCGUGCCUAAGACAUGCAAGUCGAGCGGGCCGCGGGGUUUUACUCCGUGGUCAGCGGCGGACGGGUGAGUAACGCGUGGGUGACCUACCCGGAAGAGGGGGACAACCCGGGGAAACUCGGGCUAAUCCCCCAUGUGGACCCGCCCCUUGGGGUGUGUCCAAAGGGCUUUGCCCGCUUCCGGAUGGGCCCGCGUCCCAUCAGCUAGUUGGUGGGGUAAUGGCCCACCAAGGCGACGACGGGUAGCCGGCCUGAGAGGGGGGCCGGCCACAGGGGCACUGAGCCACGGGCCCCACUCCUACGGGAGGCCGCAGUUAGGAAUCUUCCGCAAUGGGCGCAAGCCUGACGGAGCGACGCCGCUUGGAGGAAGAAGCCCUUCGGGGUGUAAACUCCUGAACCCGGGACGAAACCCCCGACGAGGGGACUGACGGUACCGGGGUAAUAGCGCCGGCCAACUCCGUG